rnacentral:rRNA from 1 species
GAUCAUGGCUCAGGAUGAACGCUAGCUACAGGCUUAACACAUGCAAGUCGAGGGGCAGCAUGGUCUUAGCUUGCUAAGGCUGAUGGCGACCGGAGCACGGGUGAGUAACACGUAUCCAACCUGCCGUCUACUCUUGGCCAGCCUUCUGAAAGGAAGAUUAAUCCAGGAUAGCAUCAUGAGUUCACAUGUCCGCAUGAUUAAAGGUAUUUUCCGGUAGACGA